rnacentral:rRNA from 1 species
UACGUAGGGGGCCAGCGUUGUCCGGAUUUAUUGGGCGUAAAGAGCGUGUAGGCGGCCAGGUAGGUCUGGUGUGAAAACUCGAGGCUCAACCUCGAGAUGUCAUCGGAAACCAUCUGGCUAGAGUCCGGAAGAGGAGAGUGGAAUUCCUGGUGUAGCGGUGAAAUGCGCAGAUAUCAGGAGGAACACCGAUGGCGAAGGCAGGUCUCUGGGCAUUAACUGACGCUGAGGAGCGAAAGCAUGGGGAGCGAACAGG